CGGCGGACGGGUGAGUAACACGUGGGUAACCUGCCUUAUAGUGGGGAAUAGCCUUUCGAAAGGAAGAUUAAUACCGCAUAAGAUUGUAGUUUCGCAUGAAACAGCAAUUAAAGGAGCAAUUCGCUAUAAGAUGGACCCGCGGCGCAUUAGCUAGUUGGUGAGGUAAUGGCUCACCAAGGCCACGAUGCGUAGCCGACCUGAGAGGGUGAUCGGCCACAUUGGGACUGAGACACGGCCCAGACUCCUACGGGAGGCAGCAGUGGGGAAUAUUGCACAAUGGGGGAAACCCUGAUGCAGCAACGCCGCGUGAGUGAUGACGGUCUUCGGAUUGUAAAACUCUGUCUUUAGGGACGAUAAUGACGGUACCUAAGGAGGAAGCCACGGCUAACUACGUGCCAGCAGCCGCGGUAAUACGUAGGUGGCAAGCGUUGUCCGGAUUUACUGGGCGUA
rnacentral:rRNA from 1 species